GGCCUACCAUGGUGGUAACGGGUAACGGGGUGUUAGGGCACGACACCGGAGAGGGAGCCUGAGAAACGGCUACCACAUCCAAGGAUGGCAGCAGGCGCGCAAAUUACCCAAUCCCGACACGGGGAGGUAGUGACAAUAAAUAACAAUACGGGGUUCUUUAGGAUCUCGUAAUUGGAAUGAGUACAAUUUAAAUCUCUUAACGAGGAACAAUUGGAGGGCAAGUCUGGUGCCAGCAGCCGCGGUAAUUCCAGCUCCAAUAGCGUAUAUUAAAGUUGUUGCAGUUAAAAAGCUCGUAGUUGAACUUCGGGGUCUACCCAUUGGUCAGGCUUAAUUGUCUGCACUGGUGAGAUGGAUCUCUACCUUCUGAGGAACUUUCAUGCCAUUUAUUUGGUGUGGUGGGAAAUCAGGACUGUUACUUUGAAAAAAUUAGAGUGUUUAAAGCAAGCUAACGCUUGAAUACAUUAGCAUGGAAUAAUGAAAUAGGACGUUCGAUCCUAUUUUGUUGGUUUCUAGGAUUGACGUAAUGAUUAAUAGGGAUAGUUGGGGGCAUUAGUAUUCAAUUGUCAGAGGUGAAAUUCUCGGAUUUAUUGAAGACUAACUACUGCGAAAGCAUUUGCCAAGGAUGUUUUCAUUAAUCAAGAACGAAAGUUAGGGGAUCGAAGACGAUCAGAUACCGUCGUAGUCUUAACCAUAAACUAUGCCGACUAGGGAUCGGAUGAUGUUAAUUUUUAAUGACUCAUUCGGCGCCUUACG
rnacentral:rRNA from 1 species